CCCUGGUUAGCUCAGUUGGUAGAGCGCUCCACUUGUAAUGGAGAGGUACCGGGUUUGAUACCCGGACCAGGCG
rnacentral:tRNA from 2 species